AUUUUAUUGAGAAUUUUUGCAUCUACAUUCAUUAGAGAUAUUGGUCUGAAAUUUUCUUUCUUUGAUGUGUCUUUGCCUGGUUUUGGAAUCACGGUGAUAUUGGCCUCAUUGAAUGAGUUUGGAAGUGCUGCCUCUUUUUCUAUUUUCUGAAAUAAAUUGAAGAGUAUUGGUAUUAGUUCUUCUUUAAAGUUCUUGUAGAACUCUGCUGUGUAUCUAUCCUGUCCUGGGCUUUUCUUGGUUGGUAGACUUCUGAUGGCAUCUUCUAUUUCAUCACUUGAUAUUGGUCUGGUUAAGUUGUGUAUAUCUUCCU
rnacentral:lncRNA from 1 species